rnacentral:misc_RNA from 1 species
AGAGGUGAAUGAAACAAAUACAAAUAUUGCUGCUACUCUUCUCAUGACAGAGAACAAGGACUGCCCCAAUCCAGAAAACACAGUGCCAAUACAGAGGGCAAGAAACACAUAAAGAAUCAAUCUUAGCCAAUAAUAUUUCCACUCCCUUGACAUAAUCAAUAAAGAUCUCCAAGUCAAAACUGCAACUCGUGUUGCAUUUCCUGCCAUUCCCUUUCUUUUGAGUGAUGGACCUUCCUUCUCA